UACAGGGGGUGCAAACGUUGCUCGGAAUCAUUGGGCGUAAAGCGCACGUAGGAGGUUCGUUAUGUCGGAUGUGAAAGCCCUUGGCUUAACCGAGGAAGUGCAUCCGAAACUGGCGAGCUAGAGUACGAAAGAGGAUCGCGGAAUUCCCGGUGUAGAGGUGAAAUUCGUAGAUAUCGGGAGGAACACCGGUGGCGAAGGCGGCGAUCUGGGUCGAUACUGACGCUGAGGUGCGAAAGCGUGGGGAGCAAACAGG
rnacentral:rRNA from 1 species